rnacentral:misc_RNA from 1 species
CCAAUAGCGUAUAUUAAAGUUGUUGCAGUUAAAAAGCUCGUAGUUGAAUUUCGGGAUUAGUACGUUGGUCGUGCCUUAGGUACGUACUGGUGUUACUGGUUCCUACCUUCUGACGAACCAUCAUGUCAUUAAUUUGGUGUGGCGGGGAAUCAGGACUGUUACUUUGAAAAAAUUAGAGUGUUUAAAGCAGGCUCGCGCUUGAAUACAUUAGCAUGGAAUAAUGAAAUAGGACGUUGACCCUAUUUUGUUGGUUUCUAGGAUUGACGUAAUGAUUAAUAGGGUUAGUUGGGGGCAUUAGUAUUCAAUUGUCAGAGGUGAAAUUCUUGGAUUUAUUGAAGACUAACUACUGCGAAAGCAUUUGCCAAGGAUGUUUUCAUUAAUCAAGAACGAAAGUUAGGGGAUCGAAGACGAUCAGAUACCGUCGUAGUCUUAACCAUAAACUAUGCCGACUAGGGAUCGGAUGAUGUUAAUUUUUUAAUGACUCAUUCGGCGCCUUACG